GCCGGCUUAGCUCAGGUGGCAGAGCACCGCUCUUGUAAAGCGGGUGUCGCGGGUUCGAACCCCGCAGCCGGCU
rnacentral:tRNA from 1 species